AUACGGAGGAUGCGAGCGUUAUCCGGAUUUAUUGGGUUUAAAGGGUGCGUAGGCGGUCGGGUAAGCGUAGGGUGAAAGUCCUCUGCUCAACAGAGGAAGUGCCUUCCGAACUGUCCGACUGGAAUGCUCCUGCCGUGGGAGGAAUGUGUGGUGUAGCGGUGAAAUGCAUAGAGAUCACACAGAACACCGAUUGCGAAGGCAUCUCACGAAGGGGCUAUUGACGCUGAGGCACGAAAGCGUGGGGAUCAAACAGGAUUAGAUACCCUGGUAGUCCACGCAGUAAACGAUGAUGACUAACCGCCGGGCGGAGUGACGUCCGGCAGCCAAGCGAAAGCGAUAAGUCAUCCACCUGGGGAGUACGGCCGCAAGGCUGAAACUCAAAUGAAUUGACGGGG
rnacentral:rRNA from 1 species